UAAUCAGUUUCCACCUUCCAGAGAUCACCCACGGCCCCAAGCUCCAGAAGGCAGAAACCACCCAAGCACAGUUCACCACCCAGUCACACACAGCCAUCAGCCUCUUCGCAGUCGCAUACCCACCAGCCCACCACCACCAAACGAGCAGCCACAGCAGCGACGAUGUUGACCACCGCAACCACCACCGUCGUUGCCGAGCUCGCCUCCUCCUUGGUCGUCGCCGAGCUCGCCUACUCGUUGGUCGUCGCCGACACCGCGUCCUCGCCGUUACUCGCCUCCUCCUAAUCUACUAAUCCGGGAAGCCUGCCCCCAAGCCUAGCCUCCACCACCGCCUUGUGCCUCUAUUGCCGCUGCGCCAUUCGUCGCACCGACCCCUGUUCGCUCUCAGACUCACCAGUCGCAGGCACGCUGUUUCUUCCUCGAGCGUCCGUCGUCUUCCUCUUCCCCUGGAGCUGCUGCAUGCCUGCAUACAAAGGAUUUCUUGAUUCUUGAAGGUCAUGAGGAAGCUCAAGAAGAGUUGCCUAAGAAAGCAAAAAUCUUCUUUAGUACUGCAGUUCAGAACUGGGAUGCUGACUUUUAUGUGAAAGUUGAUGACAGUAUUGACAUUGAUCUGGAGGGAUUAAUUGACCUUCUUAACCGCCGCCGCGGUCAGGAUGGGGCAUAUAUUGGAUGCAUGAAAUCUGGAGAAGUGAUAUCAGAAGAGGGCAAGGCAUGGUAUGAGCCUGAAUGGUGGAAAUUUGGGGAUGAAAAGUCGUAAGUGAUAUAACUUUCUAUGGAAGUUUUUGUUUAUUAAAGGAGAGAUUUAAGUAGCAAUGGUUACCUUACUGCAAUUACCUUGUCAUACCUUGUCAUUUAUGUGCGUUUUGAAUAUUGUCAUUUGAAGUUGUUUAUGACCUUUUAAUGAUAAAUUAUGUAUUGUAGAUUUUGUGAAAUUGUUAAAUUUUGAAUUUUAUUAAUUUCAAAAUUAUUGAAUUUAACUUUUUAAAAUUAUGUAUUCAAUUUUUUAUAAUUUCACUCUAUAUAUUAAACCGGUUCAACCACGGUUCAACCACGGUUGAACCAUUGAACCAUUGAACCAGUUACUUGACCGGUUUGAUGACCG